GAAAUGCGAUAAGUAAUGUGAAUUGCAGAAUUCAGUGAAUCAUCGAAUCUUUGAACGCACAUUGCGCCCGCCAGUAUUCUGGCGGGCAUGCCUGUUCGAGCGUCAUUUCAACCAUCAAGCCCCCCGGCUUGUGUUGGGGACCUGCGGCUGCCGCAGGCCCUGAAAAGCAGUGGCGGGCUCGCUGUCACACCGAGCGUAGUAGCAUACAUCUCGCUCUGGGCGUGCUGCGGGUUCCGGCCGUUAAACCACCUUCGUAACCCAAGGUUGACCUCGAAUCAGGUAGGAAUACCCGCUGAACUUAAGC
rnacentral:misc_RNA from 1 species